AUUGAACGCUGGCGGCAUGCUUUACACAUGCAAGUCGAACGGCAGCACGGGGGCAACCCUGGUGGCGAGUGGCGAACGGGUGAGUAAUGUAUCGGAACGUACCCGGCAAUGGGGGAUAGCUCGGCGAAAGCCGGAUUAAUACCGCAUAUGCCCUGAGGGGGAAAGCAGGGGAUCGAAAGACCUUGCGUUGUCGGAGCGGCCGAUAUCAGAUUAGCUUGUUGGGGAGGUAAAGGCUCACCAAGGCGACGAUCUGUAGCUGGUCUGAGAGGACGACCAGCCACACUGGGACUGAGACACGGCCCAGACUCCUACGGGAGGCAGCAGUGGGGAAUUUUGGACAAUGGGGGCAACCCUGAUCCAGCCAUGCCGCGUGAGUGAAGAAGGCCUUCGGGUUGUAAAGCUCUUUCGGACGGAAAGAAAUCGCACUUGAUAAUACCUUGUGUGGAUGACGGUACCGUAAGAAGAAGCACCGGCUAACUACGUGCCAGCAGCCGCCGUAA
rnacentral:rRNA from 1 species